GUAUACAUGGUGUAAAUGGAUAACACUCUAGCCUUCCAAGCUGGAAUUGUCGGUUCAAGUCCGACUGUAUACU
rnacentral:tRNA from 1 species